rnacentral:rRNA from 1 species
GAUGAACGCUAGCUACAGGCUUAACACAUGCAAGUCGAGGGGAAACGAUGAGAGAGCUUGCUCCCUUAGUCGUCGACCGGCGCACGGGUGAGUAACGCGUAUCCAACCUGCCUCUGACCAAGGGAUAACCCGUCGAAAGUCGGACUAAUACCUUAUGCAGUCGUCGGAAGUCAUCUGAUGACGACGAAAGAUUUCAUCGGUGAGAGAUGGGGAUGCGUCUGAUUAGCUUGUUGGCGGGGUAACGGCCCACCAAGGCGACGAUCAGUAGGGGUUCUGAGAGGAAGGUCCCCCACAUUGGAACUGAGACACGGUCCAAACUCCUACGGGAGGCAGCAGUGAGGAAUAUUGGUCAAUGGGCGUAAGCCUGAACCAGCCAAGUAGCGUGCAGGAUGACGGCCCUAUGGGUUGUAAUCUGCUUUUAGGCGGGGAUAAAGUGAGGGACGUGUCCUUCAUUGCAGGUACCGCAUGAAUAAGGACCGGCUAAUUCCGUG